rnacentral:lncRNA from 1 species
UUGAUUGUGUGCUAACAUGUAUAAUACCUUAUACAGUUGGCAUAUUCUUAUAAUUUUCUUAGACGUUCUAAUCUUAUCAGAGCAAAAGGACGGAUAGAAAACAUUAUGUUCUGUUUUCUGGUUUCCAGCAGUUUGUACUAUGGUUGCUUGCCUAUCUAUUUUUCUGAAUCACUCUUUACCAUUUACUCCUGUUGUUCUGUU